UAAAAACAUCGGAAUAGAGUAUAUAGAAAAAAUUUUACUCGGGAAAAAAUACAAAUCGGGAAUUUUAAUUUGAGCAUCCUACUCUCUUGUUCACCAAACUUUUUUGUACACCAAUGAUCAAAACGGUCUCGACGAAAAAUUAACAACACGGCAUGGAUUUUUAUAAAGAAAAAUGCGGACUACAACCUACAAUCAUAUUUUGUCUAAAUGUUCUAUUUCCUAAAAUCAAUCAAUUUAAAAUACAUGUAUCGCAAAUUCACAACACAUUAUUUCCAAUGGAAAAAGUAAAAUAAAAAUUAAGAACAUAAACUCGCAAAUCCGAAAACUUCGUUCGCUGUUAUACACGGUAUACUUGCAACCAUUCAAUCAACAUGGAAACUAAUUGAAAGACAUCAUAAAGAACAAAGUCUCACUUAUGUCUUGGCAUGAACAAUGGAACAUGAUAUAAUAUUAUGACAAUGUACUCUGUCUUACGGAACAAAUUAUAUAAAUAAAUUCAUAUAUAUAUAUAUAUAGGUGCUUUCAAAGCAUUAAUGAAGUAUCCGAAAAAACUUCAUGGUUGUUGGUCGUUAUCGUAAAAAA